rnacentral:rRNA from 1 species
GACGAACGCUGGCGGCACGCUUAACACAUGCAAGUCGAACGAGAGAAGUGAAGCUUGCUUUUCUGAUCUAGUGGCGGACGGGUGAGUAACACGUGAGCAAUCUGCCUUUCAGAGGGGGAUACCGAUUGGAAACGAUCGUUAAUACCGCAUAACAUAAUUGAACCGCAUGAUUUGAUUAUCAAAGAUUUAUCGCUGAAAGAUGAGCUCGCGUCUGAUUAGCUAGUUGGUAAGGUAACGGCUUACCAAGGCGACGAUCAGUAGCCGGACUGAGAGGUUGAUCGGCCACAUUGGGACUGAGACACGGCCCAGACUCCUACGGGAGGCAGCAGUGGGGAAUAUUGCACAAUGGAGGAAACUCUGAUGCAGCGAUGCCGCGUGAGGGAAGAAGGUUUUAGGAUUGGAAACCUCUGUCUUCAGGGACGAAAAAAGACGGUACCUGAGGAGGAAGCUCCGGCUAACUACGUG